UACGUAGGGCGCAAGCGUUAUCCGGAAUUAUUGGGCGUAAAGAGCUCGUAGGCGGUGUGUCGCGUCGGCCGUGAAAACCUGGGGCUUAACUCUGGGCUUGCGGUCGAUACGGGCAUCACUUGAGUUCGGCAGGGGAGACUGGAAUUCCUGGUGUAGCGGUGAAAUGCGCAGAUAUCAGGAGGAACACCGGUGGCGAAGGCGGGUCUCUGGGCCGAUACUGACGCUGAGGAGCGAAAGCGUGGGGAGCGAACAGG
rnacentral:rRNA from 1 species